rnacentral:rRNA from 1 species
AAAGAGUGCGUAACAGCUCACCGGUAGAAGAGGACUGCGCCGAAAAUGUAACGGAGCUAAAGCCGCGCACCGAAGCUACGGUAUAGCCGAAAGGCUAUAGGUAGGGGAGCGAUGUGCGAGGGAGAAGCAUAACUGAAAGGUUAUGUGGACGAAGCACAAGAGAGAAUGCAGGCAUGAGUAACGAAAUGGGAGUGAGAAUCUCCCACCCCUAAAGUCUAAGGGUACCUGGGGAAGGGUCGUCCGCCCAGGGUAAGUCGGGACCUAAGGUAAACCCGAAAGGGGUAGCCGAUGGAAAACGGGUAAAGAAUCCCGUACCGGUAAAAGAGGAGCUACAAGGGGGGACACAGGAGGUAAAGCUACCGAGACAGGGUUGCAAAUCUUCCAAGCGACGAUGCCGAAGAAGCUGGUAGGAAAACCCGCCGGUGGAGGAGGAGUCGUGAUGGGGAGGCCGCAAGGCCAACGGUAGAUAAUCACACUGUCGAGAAAAGCCUCGUGUAGCUAAGAUCCUUUUACUGCCCGUUCUGGAAACCGACACAGGUAGACGAGCUGAGAAGGCAAAGGGGAGCGGAAUAACCUUCGUUAAGGAACUAGGCAAAAUGGCCCCGUAACUUCGGGAGAAGGGGUGGACUAUUAGUGUGAGCAAUCAUGCUAAUAGAGCCGCAGUGACAAGUCCCUAGCGACUGUUUACCAAAAACACAGGUCUCUGCGAACACGGAAGUGGAAGUAUAGGGACUGACGCCUGCCCAGUGCCGGAAGGUUAAGGGGAGGGGUGCGAGCCUCGAACUGAAGCCCCGGUAAACGGCGGCCGUAACUAUAACGGUCCUAAGGUAGCGAAAUUCCUUGUCGGGUAAGUUCCGACCUGCAUGAAUGGCGUAACGACUAGGGAGCUGUCUUAACGGAGGAUCCGGUGAAAUUACAAGCUCGGUGAAGACGCCGAGGACCCGCAGCUAGACGGAAAGACCCCGUGGAGUUUUACUGUAACCUGACAUUGUAACUUAUCGUUGUAUGUACAGGAUAGGCGGGAGGCGGAGAAAGCUGCUCGCCAGGGCAGCUGGAGCCGACAGUGGGAUACCGCUCUUACAACGAUGGGUUACUAACGGGAGAAAGUGAAGAGCUUGACCUGGACAGUGUUAGGAGGGCAGUUUAACUGGGGCGGUUGCCUCCCAAAAGGUAACGGAGGUGUUCGAAGGUAGGCUCAAGUGGGUUGGGAAUCCACUGAAGAGUGCAAAGGCAAAAGCCUGCUUAACUGAGAGACUGACGAGUCGAACAGGAGGGAAACCUGGACUUAGUGACCCGGCGGUUCUGAGAGGAAGGGCCGUCGAUCAACGGAUAAAAGUUACCCCGGGGAUAACAGACUAAUCACGCCCGAGAGUUCACAUCGACGGCGUGGAUUGGCACCUCGAUGUCGGCUCAUCGCAACCUGGGGCUGAAGCCGGUCCCAAGGGUUGGGCUGUUCGCCCAUUAAAGCGGUACGUGAGCUGGGUUCAGAACGUCGUAAGACAGUUCGGUCCCUAUCUGCUGCGGGGGUAGGAAGCUUGAAGGGGGUUGCUCCUAGUACGAGAGGACCGGAGUGAGUAUGUCCCUGGUGAAUCAGCUGUUAUGCAAAUAGCAGGAGCUGAGUAGCUACACAUAUAACCGAUAACCGCUGAAAGCAUCUAAGCGGGAAACGGGCCCAAACAAUAGGCUUCCCACUCUUAGGAGGUAAGGGCAGUCUGAGAAGAAGACGUAGAUAGGCCGCAGGUGUAAGUACUGAGAAGUAUUGAGCCGAGCGGUACUAAUAGCCCGAGGCUUUG